rnacentral:tmRNA from 1 species
GGGGGCGACAUGGCUUCGACGCAGGUCGCGAAACCGGAGGUGCAUGCCGGGGAUACAGCCCACCCCGUUACCAAGGCUGUACCGUAAAAAUAGUAGCCAACGACGAAAGCUACGCUCUGGCGGCUUAACACCCGCCAGCUGCUCCCAGCCGGUGCCUGUGCCGGCUGACGAGCAGUCAUAGACACAGGAUAGCGGUGCCCGGAUCGGCCCGGUCCGGCAUCGUGAAAUCCAACGGGCUCGCGGGUGGGGGCCCUGCCGCUCGGGCGCCCAUCCGUUAAAGAGAAUAGAGCGGCUAAGCAUGUAGGACCGAAGGUGUAGCUCCUGCGGACGCGGGUUCGAUUCCCGCCGCCUCCACCA